rnacentral:pre_miRNA from 1 species
CUUAUAAUUCCUCUGUCCGAAAAUACUUGUUAAAGAAAUAGAUGCAUCUAGAUGUAUUUUAGUUUUACAUACAUUCAUUUUUAUCCAUCUCUCUAACAAGUAUUUUCGGACGGAGGGGGUUUACG